UACGUAGGAUACAAGCGUUGUCCGGAACUAUUGGGCGUAAAGAGCGCGCAGGCGGUAUGACAAGUCAGAUGUGAAAGAGGCCGGCUUAACCGGCAAGGGUCAUUUGAAACUGUCAGACUAGAGUGCAGCAGAGGAUAGUGGAAUUCCCGGUGUAGUGGUGAAAUGCGUAGAUAUCGGGAGGAACACCAGUGGCGAAGGCGACUAUCUGGGCUGCAACUGACGCUGAGGCGCGAAGGCUAGGGUAGCAAACAGG
rnacentral:rRNA from 1 species